UGGGGAAUAUUGCACAAUGGGCGCAAGCCUGAUGCAGCCAUGCCGCGUGUGUGAAGAAGGCCUUCGGGUUGUAAAGCACUUUCAGCGAGGAGGAAGGUGGUGAGCUUAAUACGCUCAUCAAUUGACGUUACUCGCAGAAGAAGCACCGGCUAACUCCGUGCCAGCAGCCGCGGUAAUACGGAGGGUGCAAGCGUUAAUCGGAAUUACUGGGCGUAAAGCGCACGCAGGCGGUUUGUUAAGUCAGAUGUGAAAUCCCCGGGCUCAACCUGGGAACUGCAUUUGAAACUGGCAAGCUAGAGUCUCGUAGAGGGGGGUAGAAUUCCAGGUGUAGCGGUGAAAUGCGUAGAGAUCUGGAGGAAUACCGGUGGCGAAGGCGGCCCCUGGACGAAGACUGACGCUCAGUGCGAAAGCGUGGGAGCAAACAGGAUUAGAUACCCUGGUAGUCCAGCGCUGUAAACGAUGUCGAUUUGGAGGUUGUGCCCUUGAGGCGUGGCUUCCGGAGCUAACGCGUU
rnacentral:rRNA from 1 species